rnacentral:rRNA from 1 species
AUGCACGCUGGCGGCGUGCCUAAUCCCUGCCAGUCGAGCGCACGGACGAGAAGCUUGCUUCUCUGAUGUUAGCGGCGGACGGGUGAGUAACACGUGGAUAACCUACCUAUAAGACUGGGAUAACUUCGGGAAACCGGAGCUAAUACCGGAUGAUAUUUUGAACCGCAUGGUUCAAAAGUGAAAGACGGUCUUGCUGUCACUUAUAGAUGGAUCCGCGCUGCAUUAGCUAGUUGGUAAGGUAACGGCUUACCAAGGCAACGAUGCAUAGCCGACCUGAGAGGGCGAUCGGCCACACUGGAACUGAGACACGGUCCAGACUCCUACGGGAGGCAGCAGUAGGGAAUCUUCCGCAAUGGGCGAAAGCCUGACGGAGCAACGCCGCGUGAGUGAUGAAGGUCUUCGGAUCGUAAAACUCUGUUAUUAGGGAAGAACAUAUGUGUAAGUAACUGUGCACAUCUUGACGGUACCUAAUCAGAAAGCCACGGCUAACUACGUG